CCAAAGGCUCUUUUAAGAGCCACCACAUAAUCUUAAAAAGCUGUUA
rnacentral:ncRNA from 1 species